UGGGGAGUGGCUCAGUGGUAGAGUAUUUGCCUAGCAUGCAUAAGACCUGGGUUCAAUCCUCAGCACCUCAA